rnacentral:rRNA from 1 species
CAGUCGCCGCGGGAAUACAGAGGGUGCAAGCGUUAAUCGGAAUUACUGGGCGUAAAGCGUGCGCAGGCGGUUAUAUAAGACAGAUGUGAAAUCCCCGGGCUCAACCUGGGAACUGCAUUUGUGACUGUAUAGCUAGAGUACGGCAGAGGGGGAUGGAAUUCCGCGUGUAGCAGUGAAAUGCGUAGAUAUGCGGAGGAACACCGAUGGCGAAGGCAAUCCCCUGGGCCUGUACUGACGCUCAUGCACGAAAGCGUGGGGAGCAAACAGGAUUAGAUACCCCGGUAGUCCCUGUCUCUUAUAC